UGCAGCAACGCCGCGUGAGGUGAUGACGGCCUUAUCGGGUUGUAAACCUCUUUUAGUAGGGAAGAAGCGAAAGUGACGGUACCUGCAGAAAAAGCACCGGCUAACUACGUGCCAGCAGCCGCGGUAAUACGUAGGGUGCAAGCGUUGUCCGGAAUUAUUGGGCGUAAAGAGCUCGUAGGCGGUUUGUCGCGUCUGCUGUGAAAUCCCGAGGCUCAACCUCGGGCUUGCAGUGGGUACGGGCAGACUAGAGUGCGGUAGGGGAGAUUGGAAUUCCUGGUGUAGCGGUGGAAUGCGCAGAUAUCAGGAGGAACACCGAUGGCGAAGGCAGAUCUCUGGGCCGUAACUGACGCUGAGGAGCGAAAGCGUGGGGAGCGAACAGGAUUAGAUACCCUGGUAGUCCACGCCGUAAACGUUGGGCGCUAGAUGUAGGGACCUUUCCACGGUUUCUGUGUCGUAGCUAACGCAUUAAGCGCCCCGCCUGGGGAGUACGGCCGCAAGGCUAAAACUCAAAGGAAUUGACGGGGGCCCGCACAAGCGGCGGAGCAUGCGGAUUAAUUCGAUGCAACGCGAAGAACCUUACCAAGGCUUGACAUACACCGGAAACGGCCAGAGAUGGUCGCCCCCUUGUGGUC
rnacentral:rRNA from 1 species